GCACGAGUGGCUCAGUGGUAGAGCAUCGCCUUGCCAAGGCGAGGGCCGCGGGUUCGAAUCCCGUCUCGUGCU
rnacentral:tRNA from 1 species